ensembl:lncRNA
CUGGGGAACACAGGGUUAGGGACGGGCUGGGGAACACAGGGUUAGGGACGGGGCUGGGGAACACAGGGUUAGGGACGGGGCCGGGGACGUGGCAGCGGACGGGGUUAGGGAACACAGGGUUAGGGACGGGGCCGGGGACGUGGCAGCGGACGGGGUUAGGGAACACAGGGUUAGGGACAAGCGCCAUGGGACGAGGAACUGGCACUACGGGAAGCUUUGGGGGUCUUGGUGGAGGACGGACUGCUGGAUCUGGAUCACUGAUUUCAAAACACCUCGCGGAUCUGCAGCUCUACGGCAAGCCUUCAAGCACGGAGAAGAAGAGCGAAUCACCCAAGACCUCUGGCUAAUGUGCCUUCCCCAGGACAGGUUGGAGAGAUGAGAAGAUACAAAUCCCAUCUCCUCUGUCCUCCAGCCUGAGCCAAGCUCCUCACACUGAGAACACGCACACGCACACACACACACACACACACACAAAUAAAAGCAUAGAUGCACAGAUACACGCACACACACACAAAAUUGCGCACCACACACAUACACAGACACACACACAGACGAACAGAUGCACAGAUGCAAACAGCGCACAGACGCACGCACAUGCACACGCAAACACAAACACAAAAACACACACACACAAACACACACACACACACACACAUUAUCAUACACUUUGUACUACUUUCUCACUAGUAAUGCAUACUUAUAAUGGCAAUAGCAAGUUGUAAUAACUUUCUGCACAUUCUUUGCUUGUUGAAAUGUGAUGUGAGGGUGAAUUUGUCACUAGAAUGUAUAUAAUGUACUAAUCAGCAUGAAUAUGCUCUGUGUAAAUACUCAAAUUACUAUAUUCUUUAAAUAAACGCAUGUUGUUCAUAC